GUUUUGUUGCUUAUAAAUGUUGCUGUUAUAAUAUAGAGUCUUGCUGAAAUGAUAAUAAACAAAGCUUAUAUUUCAUAAACACUAUCGCCGACAGAUAAACUCUAAGUAAUUUCUAACAAUCUUGAAGAAUUUACAGUCGAUCAAUACUAUUCCCAACAAAUAAAACAGUUAUCUAGAAAUUAGUCCGGUUUUACUUCUUAUUGUAGCCCUAUAAUGUUUUUUUAUUUUUAUUUUAUAUAAACACUGUAAUUUAACAAGUAAACGGGAAAUAACGCGAAGGAAACGUCAUGUACAGUUUGGGUCAAGCAUUUUUAUUGUAGAUAUUGUGUUACUGGUCAGUUCCCGUUUAUAUUUAAUAA
rnacentral:lncRNA from 1 species